UCCAUAUCCAAGUAGGCUUUGAAGGGAUGGCCCUCAUCAGUCUUCUGCACGGCCUGUAGGACUGAUUUGUAGAUUCUGAAGCUAAUGGUGGCCGAGAGGCCGGCGAGGGCCAGGUAGGCCACAACACUGACGACGCUGAAUUGGGUCAGGGAGAAGAGCAGCAACAGGAGGCUGCCAAACACGAUCCCUGUCUGCUUGAUGUCGCGCCAGUACAACAGGUUGAUAGCCUGACAUUUCCAGUUGCUCCAAAGACAGUCCAUCUUGGUGGAGUCGGCACUGGCUUGCAUCUCGGCGUGCGGAGGGGUGGCCGGUGCUGCGGUCGGAGGCGCUGCGUUAGCAC
rnacentral:lncRNA from 1 species